CUACGGGGGGCUCCAGUGGGGAAUAUUGGACAAUGGGGGAAACCCUGAUCCAGCAAUGCCGCGUGUGUGAAGAAGGCCUGCGGGUUGUAAAGCACUUUCGGUUGGGAGGACUGCUUCUAGCACUAAUAUUGUUGGAAGUUGACGUUACCUUCAGAAGAAGCACCGGCUAACUCCGUGCCAGCAGCCGCGGUAAUACGUGAGGGUGCAAGCGUUAAUCGAAAUUACUGGGCGUAAAGCGCGCGUAGGCGGCUAGAUCAGUCGGGUGUGAAAGCCCCGGGCUUAACCUGGGAACUGCAUCCGAUACUGUCUAGCUUGAGUACAGGAGAGGAGAGUGGAAUUCCACAUGUAGCGGUGAAAUGCGUAGAUAUGUGGAGGAACACCAAUGGCGAAGGCAGCUCUCUGGCCUGAUACUGACGCUGAGGUGCGAAAGCGUGGGGAGCAAACAGGAUUAGAUACCCCAGUAGUC
rnacentral:rRNA from 1 species